UCCUCGAUUCGCAUACUCUCUCGCUGGUCAGACAGACGAGAGAGCAUGCAAAUCGAGGAGA
rnacentral:pre_miRNA from 1 species